UGGGGAAUAUUGCACAAUGUGCGCAAGCCUGAUGCAGCCAUGCCGCGUGUGUGAAGAAGGCCUUCGGGUUGUAAAGCACUUUCAGCGGGGAGGAAGGCGGUGAGGUUAAUAACCUCAUCGAUUGACGUUACCCGCAGAAGAAGCACCGGCUAACUCCGUGCCAGCAGCCGCGGUAAUACGGAGGGUGCAAGCGUUAAUCGGAAUUACUGGGCGUAAAGCGCACGCAGGCGGUCUGUCAAGUCGGAUGUGAAAUCCCCGGGCUCAACCUGGGAACUGCAUUCGAAACUGGCAGGCUAGAGUCUUGUAGAGGGGGGUAGAAUUCCAGGUGUAGCGGUGAAAUGCGUAGAGAUCUGGAGGAAUACCGGUGGCGAAGGCGGCCCCCUGGACAAAGACUGACGCUCAGGUGCGAAAGCGUGGGUAGCAAACAGG
rnacentral:rRNA from 1 species